CAGCAGCCGCGGGAAUACGAAGGGGGCUAGCGUUGCUCGGAAUGACUGGGCGUAAAGGGCGCGUAGGCGGUUCACGCAGUCAGAUGUGAAAUUCCUGGGCUUAACCUGGGGGCUGCAUUUGAGACGCGUGGGCUUGAGUGUGAAAGAGGGUCGUGGAAUUCCCAGUGUAGAGGUGAAAUUCGUAGAUAUUGGGAAGAACACCGGUGGCGAAGGCGGCGACCUGGUUCACAACUGACGCUGAGGCGCGAAAGCGUGGGGAGCAAACAGGAUUAGAUACCCCAGUAGUCCUGUCUCUUAUACA
rnacentral:rRNA from 1 species